rnacentral:rRNA from 2 species
GCAGUCGAACGAACUCUGGUAUUGAUUGGUGCUUGCAUCAUGAUUUACAUUUGAGUGAGUGGCGAACUGGUGAGUAACACGUGGGAAACCUGCCCAGAAGCGGGGGAUAACACCUGGAAACAGAUGCUAAUACCGCAUAACAACUUGGACCGCAUGGUCCGAGCUUGAAAGAUGGCUUCGGCUAUCACUUUUGGAUGGUCCCGCGGCGUAUUAGCUAGAUGGUGGGGUAACGGCUCACCAUGGCAAUGAUACGUAGCCGACCUGAGAGGGUAAUCGGCCACAUUGGGACUGAGACACGGCCCAAACUCCUACGGGAGGCAGCAGUAGGGAAUCUUCCACAAUGGACGAAAGUCUGAUGGAGCAACGCCGCGUGAGUGAAGAAGGGUUUCGGCUCGUAAAACUCUGUUGUUAAAGAAGAACAUAUCUGAGAGUAACUGUUCAGGUAUUGACGGUAUUUAACCAGAAAGCCACGGCUAACUACGUGCCAGCAGCCGCGGUAAUACGUAGGUGGCAAGCGUUGUCCGGAUUUAUUGGGCGUAAAGCGAGCGCAGGCGGUUUUUUAAGUCUGAUGUGAAAGCCUUCGGCUCAACCGAAGAAGUGCAUCGGAAACUGGGAA